rnacentral:lncRNA from 1 species
GUCAUGCAGCUAGUCCUAGCGCCAUUCCUAGCCUGUGUCUCCCCUCCUCCGCAUCAGACUCCACCUCUGGGAGCUCCCUUUGCAAGAAACCGUACCAGGGACAAGGGUCUUCCCUACAAGGCCAUGAAGCACGCAGAUAUCUCCUGCGGGAGGAAUCUCUUUCCGAGGGGCCAGGUACUCAGAAGACCACAGACAAGACCCAGCCCCAUGGCCUGCCCCAAAGAGUUCACAUCUCAUAAAUGAUGCUUGAAUAAUAACAAUAAUAGUAACAGCUCCCACAUGCUGAGUGUGCGCUGCUAGGACACAGCAUGUGACAGGAAUUCAGUGCCUGAAUGAAUGAGCCAAUAAAUUAAACUUUCUC